rnacentral:rRNA from 1 species
GUCAAUGGCCAUGCCACCCUGAACAAGCCUGAUCCCGUCUGAUCUCGGAAGCUAAGCAGGUUCGGGCCUGGUUAGUACUUGGAUGGGAGACCGCCUAGGAUGAUCAGGUGCUGAUCAUC